ACAGUUUCUUAACUCUGAAUUUAAUUUGUACCAUUUGAUUUGGCUGCUUGAUCAAUUUACUUGCAAUUGAAGUUCUUCAAUAUGAAAGUUCACUUAAAUUCCUGAUCAGCUGAUAAUUAUUAGAUUUCACUUUUGAUCACUUGGUCACAAAGAAAAAUAGUUUCACUUGCUAUAGGCUUAACCUUUCUUUGUCAUGGACAAUAUGACUUGUGUACCAUAGCAAUAGCUCUUAGGGCCUUUUGUUGCAAAUAAACAUAGCAAGUGGGUGUGUAGCAGCUUUCCUUAAAGAAGGUAAAAAAUUUUGGUCUUCCAUCCCUCUUUUUAGUUCAUUUCAGAAAUACUGUAAAAGAUGCCAGUUUUAUUGCAUAUUUUCUGGCUUAAACAGAGCUUUACAUUGCACAACCACAGGUUUUUAUAAUCAUUCAGGAAAUAAAAAGAAUGGAUGAAAAGGCUAAAACAACAAAUUAUGGGCAUUGCGCUCACCAUAUAGAUAACUGCUAAAUUAAACCUGAAGGAGGAACAGCUAAUGCUGACCAGGAAAAGGUAUGUUGAGAUUUGGAAAAUUAGAUGGGGGUAGGGGGAGGUUUAAGUCAUAUGAUGAAAAGAUCCACUAUUCUCCCCUUGAAGAGUAUUCUGACUUGUGAAUGUUCUUCCAAAUUAUUUAUAGAACCACAAGGAAUCGAGAUUCUGUGAAAUAUGAAAUCUUCAUUCAGGCCCAAGUUUAUAUUUAGCUUUCUAUUAAAGGAGUUAGAACAUUCUGAACAAAUUAAAUGUGGCAGAUAUUGAUCUAAUUGGGGCCUAAUAAUAGGACCUAGUAAUGGUCUGAAUCUAUGUCUUGGCUUUUAAGGCAUGGAAUUAAGGAUAUCCCACUUCUUAGUUCUUGAAAUAUAUGUUGCUUUUUUGGACUGAAUAUCGGAAAAGGAAACACACAGAGAGAAGCUCUCAAAUGCUCAAUUUGUUUACACGUUGUUUGAUUCAAAUGAAUUCCUCAAAAUUUUCUAGAACUCAAUUGAAUUCCAUGUUUUGCAUGUUUGAUUUGGAAAAAAAAAAAUUUCAAUUUCAAUUUCAAUUUCAUAAAUUCAAUUCUAUGGAAUUGAAUUCAACUAAAUCCAAUUCUUAUCAAAAUAGGUGAAAUUUCUAAUGAAUUCCAUAAAAUUAAAACAAUCACAUUUUUCGAUCAAAAUGUCAAUAUCGUAUUGUCUUUCUCCCACAUUUUCUUUCUUUCUCCUAUCUAUCUCUCUCUCUCUCCCUUCCCACUCUCUCUCUUUUGAAAAUAAAAAUAAAUUAAUUUUAAAUUAUAUAAUAAGGAUAAAUUUAAUCCAAUAUAUUGUUUAGGAAGUCACGAUUUUUUUCUCAUUGAUGAUAUUUUAGGAACGGAUAAAUGAACUUGAGUUAUAAAAUUAUAUCAAACAUGAAGUAUAGGGAAUUCAAUUGAAGUCGUCAUUUAAAGUUGUAUCAUACUAAGCACAAGAAUUCAUUUCCAAGCAAAUUCUAACUAGCAUUCACUUAAAAUGAAUUCUAUGUUUCUAAUUUCUAAUUCAUUUGAAUCAAAUGGGGUGUUAAUAACUGCAUGAUAUUGAAAAUGAAAACAGAGAGAUCAAUCGGUAACUCACAUUAAGAGGUAGCGGUUCAUGCGUUAUUAAGUCAGAGUAGUUUCCCCAGAGAUAUUCCUUUCUUCAAUUGCUUUAGCAUGAUUUAUAUUUCCAUUGAAUUAUUGUAAUAUCAUUUUUUUCUUGUUUGCCUUAUUUUUUUUCACACUUUUGAUCGUUCUUUAACCGAAGCAUUCUGCAUAGCAAUGUUAGAGGCUGCUAGUUGUGGAUUAUUGACAGUCAGUAGACGUGUAGGAGGUGUCCCAGAGUCAUGUAUCAUGAGGCAACUUUCUCCAAUCUGGUUCUACCAGAUGACGUGAUUGUACUUGCAGAACCAGAUCCUGGUGAUAUGGUACAAGCAAUUAGAAAGGCAAUUUCUCUUCUUGCAAAAAUUGACCCACAAGUUAUGCAUGAGCGUGCAAGUGUGGUAAAUUAUUUACGGUAUCUCUCCUGUGGUGCUUGGGCAGGGAAGCUUUUUUGCUUGGUUAUGAUAAUUGAUUUUUUGCGAUGGCUUUUAUUGCAAUUAUGGCAGCCAACAGGGGAUAUUGAGGAGGUGCCUGAAUUUACUGUUUUCAAUAAUCACCAAGAUUUAGAUAGAUGUUCUUGAAUACCAGCGAGAGCCAAAGCUCGAGAUGAUCUAUUCGAAGACUCGGUUUUCCCAGCACCCACAAGAGAAGAAACAGAAAUAGCGAGAAUUCCAAUGGCAGUGGUGGAGCCAGAGAGGAAAAAAGAGGAUUUGAGGGGUGAAUUUGAUUUGUUUCCUGGUGCACAUGGGAGUUUGCCCAACAUGUCUUUCACUUCCUUGUUGAUGCAGUUGGAGAGGGAGUGAUUAAUGAUGAUGGAUGGGUUCCACAACCUUCUGUUUGAUUUUUAUUUUUUAAAUAGCUCUGCUUUCUGUUCUUAGGUGCAAAUAGGCUAACUUAUAAUCUAGUUUAAGGAUAUAGAAUUGCCAUUCUUGGCCUUUUUCUUUGUUGGAUAACUUAGUAACAUGUAGUAGUUUAUGGGGAUGAAAAGUUUACCCUUUUUGGUCUGUUGAUAAUUGAUCUUGUGGCCCUGGUUGUAGCUUUUUUUAACAGUGCUUUUGAUUCUCCAGCCAAAUAUACAUAUUAUUAAGUUGAAGAAUAUCUGUGGAAAUCAAUGUGAAGAUCUCAAAUUUGCAGA